GGCUUAAAUGUACUUUUGGACCCCCAAGUUUACAUUUUUUGCGAUUUUUGACCCUGAUCUUAUUUUUCUACNAAAUGAGACCCUCUCUAGGCAAUUUGCAUGCAGAAGAUGGCUGGUCUUUUUGCCUUGAGAGGGUCUCGAUUCGGAGAAAAAUAAGAUCAGGGUCAACAAUCGCAAAAAAUGUAAACUUGGGGGUCUAAAAGUGCAUUUAAGUC
rnacentral:pre_miRNA from 1 species